UUGGAGGGCAAGUCUGGUGCCAGCAGCCGCGGCAAUUCCAGCUCCAAUAGCGUAUAUUAAAGUUGUUGCAGUUAAAAAGCUCGUAGUUGAAUUUCGGGAUCAAUUUGCUGGUCGUGCCUUGGUACGCACUGGCAUUAUUGGUUCCUAUCUUCUGAAAAACCGCGAUUGUCAUUAAUUUGGUGUCAUGGGGAAUCAGGACUGUUACUUUGAAAAAAUUAGAGUGUUUAAAGCAGGCGCACGCUUGAAUACAUUAGCAUGGAAUAAUGAAAUAGGACGUUCGAUCCUAUUUUGUUGGUUUCUAGGAUUGACGUAAUGAUUAAUAGGGAUAGUUGGGGGCAUUAGUAUUCAAUUGUCAGAGGUGAAAUUCUUGGAUUUAUUGAAGACUAACUACUGCGAAAGCAUUUGCCAAGGAUGUUUUCAUUAAUCACCAACGAAAGUUAGGGGAUCGAAGACAAUCAGAUACCGUCGUAGUCUUAACCAUAAACUAUGCCGACUAGGGAUCGGAUGAUGUUAAUUUUUUAAUGACUCAUUCGGCGCCUUACGGGAAAC
rnacentral:rRNA from 1 species